rnacentral:rRNA from 1 species
GACGAACGCUGGCGGCGUGCUUAACACAUGCAAGUCGAACGGAAAGGCCCUGCUUUUGUGGGGUGCUCGAGUGGCGAACGGGUGAGUAACACGUGAGUAACCUGCCCUUGACUUUGGGAUAACUUCAGGAAACUGGGGCUAAUACCGGAUAGGAGCUCCUGCUGCAUGGUGGAGGUUGGAAAGUUUCGGCGGUUGGGGAUGGACUCGCGGCUUAUCAGCUUGUUGGUGGGGUAGUGGCUUACCAAGGCUUUGACGGGUAGCCGGCCUGAGAGGGUGACCGGCCUCAUUGGGACUGAGAUACGGCCCAGACUCCUACGGGAGGCAGCAGUGGGGAAUAUUGCACAAUGGGCGGAAGCCUGAUGCAGCAACGCCGCGUGCGGGAUGACGGCCUUCGGGUUGUAAACCGCUUUCGCCUGUGACGAAGCGUGAGUGACGGUAAUGGGUAAAGAAGCACCGGCUAACUACGUG